UAGGGAAUUUUGGGCAAUGGGCGAAAGCCUGACCCAGCAACGCCGCGUGUGGGAUGAAGGCCCUCGGGUCGUAAACCACUGUCAGGAGGGAAGAACUGCACCGGAGCUAAUACUUCCGGUGUUUGACGGUACCUCCAAAGGAAGCGCCGGCUAACUCCGUGCCAGCAGCCGCGGUAAUACGGAGGGCGCAAGCGUUGUUCGGAAUCACUGGGCGUAAAGCGCGUGCAGGUGGUUCGGUAAGUCGGGUGUGAAAUCCCCGGGCUCAACCCGGGAACUGCAUCCGAAACUGCCGAGCUAGAGUCCCGGAGAGGAAGGCAGAAUUCCCAAUGUAGGGGUGAAAUCCGUAGAUAUUGGGAGGAAUACCAGUUGCGAAGGCGGCCUUCUGGACGGUGACUGACACUCAGACGCGAAAGCGUGGGGAGCAAACAGGAUUAGAUACCCCCGUAGUCC
rnacentral:rRNA from 1 species